rnacentral:misc_RNA from 1 species
AAGAAAUAGUCAUUGGCGGGAUUUUCUCUGCAAAUGAGGAGUUUAACUACUUGUUAUAGUGAACAUGCCAUCAAAGUAUCGGAUUCAUAUUGUUCAGGCCAUUCAAACCAGGCCUAUGUUUCCCCUAACCAGACACCUUCAAUUCCCAAUACAGUUACUUGUAUAUAUAAAAAACUUUUAUCUCAAAAAAAGCCUCUUGAUCACCCUCACAUGGUGCAAUAAGCUGCUACGCCAAGGCCUCUCCAUCAAUAUUAGUGACUCCAUGUCAUCCCCUUCAAAAUUCAAUUCCAGUUUUCAUCACCUGCCAAAAACUAAAGGCUCCAAGACAUUCCAAUCUUGCAAUUCAAAGAUUAAAGUUUUAUGGGAUCUUUCUGCUGCUUAUUACGACACCGGGCCUGAGCCCAUCAGUGGGUUUUACGUGUUGGUUUUGGUGGAUUCAGAACUUGGCUUAUUCCUUGGAGAUAUGGAAGAAGAAGCAGCUUGUCUAUAUGGCCUCAAAACAAAACCACAGCCGUUAAAAUCCUCCAUGGUUUCUCGAAGUGAGCAUUUCUCGGGCAAUGCUAUUUAUUCGACCAAGGCGAAGUUCUGCGAUUCUGGGACAGCUCAUGAUAUAUUAAUCAAGUGCAACGAGGAUGAAAAUGAAUCGAAGAAUCCUGUAUUGUCUGUGUGCAUUGAUAAUAAGACGAUUUUUCAAGUGAAGAGAUUGAGGUGGAAUUUUAGGGGGAAUCAGACAAUUUUCUUGGAUGGGUUAUUGGUGGAUAUGAUGUGGGAUUUGCAUGACUGGUUCUUUAAAGAAGCUUCUGGGUAUGCUGUUUUUAUGUUCAGGACAAGAAGUGGAUUGGAUAGCAGGUUAUGGCUGGAGGAGAAGAACUCGGGGCAGAAGGGACAAGACAGGGCAGAGUUCUCCUUGUUAAUCUGUGCCUGUAAGAAUCCGGGGUGAUUCCUUUAUUUUAUUUUAUUUUUUGGUUGUUUUUAAUUGCUUUCUUUUUUUCUUUUCAAAGAGGGGAAAAAAAUCUCUUUAUGGUGUGAAUUGGUUCCUUUUUUAUUUACACAAUUUCAAAUCUGAAAGAUUAUAGAGAAUUUACUAAAUGUUUUCAAGUUAU